UACGUAGGGGGCAAGCGUUGUCCGGAUUUAUUGGGCGUAAAGAGCGUGUAGGCGGCUAGACAGGUCCGUUGUGAAAACUGGAGGCUCAACCUCCAGACGUCGAUGGAAACCGUCUGGCUAGAGUCCGGAAGAGGAGAGUGGAAUUCCUGGUGUAGCGGUGAAAUGCGCAGAUAUCAGGAAGAACACCCGUGGCGAAAGCGGCUCUCUGGGACGGUACUGACGCUGAGACGCGAAAGCGUGGGGAGCGAACAGG
rnacentral:rRNA from 1 species